GGGCCUUGUACACACCGCCCGUCACACCACGAGAGUUUGUAACACCCGAAGUCGGUGGGGUAACCUUUAUGGAGCCAGCCGCCUAAGGUGGGACAGAUGAUUGGGGUGAAGUCGUAACAAGGUAGCCGUAUCGGAAGGUGCGGCUGGAUCACCUCCUUUCUAUGGAGA
rnacentral:rRNA from 1 species